rnacentral:lncRNA from 1 species
CCAGGAGUUAAAUUACUGCCUGGUCUUAUCCCCGACUUGUGCUAAACUACGUCCAAUAAAAUUCUUUUAAAUCCUUUUAAGGAAUUCCCUCUUCGCAGUUUCUCCCUCCCUUUAAAGGCUUCCAGAUUUUCAGCUCUUCCCUUCAUAUUUUCAUUUCCCUCUUGAGAAGCAUCCUUCCCGAGCUGUUGUGUGGAAAUGGAUGCUGAUGGUGCCUGUGAGAGUUCCCUGAGAAGACAGGAGCCGUGGAUGCUUGCUGAGCACCUACGAGGGCUAUUCGUAGACAUCAGAGGCACAAACUGGGCCAGUCGGUGGGCUCUGGCUCACAGACCUGUUUUAUUGGGCCCUGCUGGGUUAAAAUUUUUUUAAAAAUUUUGAAUUAGUUGCCAAUCUUUAAAGAUCGGGAGAUUUCACAUAAAUUUUUUUCUUCUGAAACACUGGGAGAUGUGGCUGACAUCCCUCACGUGAGCAGUGUGCUGGGGCCGGGUCAUCCCCUCCCUUGCCUGUGGUUUGGGCCUCAGCCCACAUCAUGUCACUUAAAUUACCAACGGGCCCCUGGAAGCAGGAGCUGCUGACCUCUCAUCUUGGUAAAUUGUCUAAGGUCACACAGGAAAUGGCAAAGCUGGAUCUGAACCCAGGGCUGUCUGACCUGAAAGCCCAACUUGUCACUAGAAAACAAGCUGCUCUUAGUUUUGGGGGCAGGAGGAGGAUGUGGCCUCCCUGGCCCGGAGGAAAUACCUUAAAAGGGAGUCACAGUUAGCGGUUAAAGGACAGGCGUUCCUUCUCAUUCAUAGCCAACUCUCGGUAAGUCAUAAAGUUCUGGGUUGUUUUUCCAGGGCACGAAGGGUUACCCAGAGCUGUCCACGCCGUUUGUCCAUUCUUCCCCUUGAGAUGAAAAGGCUUAGAUUUGCAAGACAACUGGUGAGAGUUAGGAGCUGAGUCUGGGGAGGUGGGAGUGGGGGGGUGAUGGUAGGGGUGGGAGUGGGGGGAUUUUCUUCCUUAGUUCUCCUGCCGGGGGUCUAACUGGGUGUCCCUGGGCACAGCUUGUAGAAAAACUGCUGCUCGGCAAGGCAAGUCGCGGUGGGGGUGGGUGCAUGGGCAGUCCCCUGCCACCUCUCUCGCGCUCUCUCUGCUCCAGGCAUUCUGCCUUCUUUCUGUGCCUCCCUCUGCCUGGAAUGAUCUUCCCAUAGGCUUCCACAGAACCGGUUCCUUCAGGUCGCCGUCAAUGGUCACCUCAGGACUCCGGGAGCCGGGAGCCGGGCGCAGCCAGUGAGGCUGAGGUGUGCAAAGGGACAACUUUCUUUAAGUCUUUAUUUUAAAAGUUGGUAUUUUGCUCACCAUGGAUUGGUUUUGCACUAAAUUUGAUUCUUAAAAAAUAUCAUAUCAAAAUUUUAUUUAUCUUGAUUCCUGAGCUUUUUGGCGCCUCCUUAAAUUUCACCCCCAGGCGAGAGCCCCACCGGCCUCAGUCCAGCCCCAGCUCAGCUCCUGGUCCAGGGUGCUGUGGACUGGGAGUCAGGAGACCUGGCUUCUGGUCCAGCUUGUGCCACUAGACCAGCUGUGUGACUGAAUGCAUGUACCCUCGGCGCCCUGAGCCGCUCAGCUGCACCAUCUCUCCAGGGACGGGCUAUUCCUGGCUCUAGUUCUAGAAUGAUCCAAGACACUCCUUAGAACUCUGAUAGGUUGUGUAUUGUAUGCAUCUCCUGGGGGCUUUGGGCCUGUUUUAGGCCUCUGACUCUGGCCAUUAUGUCACCGGCCUUUCCCCAUCCCAUGUGAGGUGAUCCUCUGUGCAAACACCACAUCUUCGUGGCUGCUUUGUGCAAUGAGCGUUGAUGCCCUUGUCGUUUUCCCCAUCCUGGGGGGAGUUUCAGUUUUGGAGGUGUGGUCGUGCCCUUUAUUCUUGCUUCUUGCUCUUUGGUUCCAAUCACUGGAUCAUGUGACACACCUUCAUUAGGAAGCUUCCCAAAUGCCAAGUGCUGAGCAACCACUCAGGAUACAAAAGAAACCUGUCCAGCCCUGGAAGAGCUGACGUUCUAGCGAGGGAGCCAGCACAUAAGCAGACCCGUGUGCUGAGAGAAGUGUGCCCGGGGUAGAGGACGUCCAGCUCAGUGAAGGUCACCUUGAGAGGACGGUGCACUGUCCUUCCUCCUGGGGGGACCCUGCAUCCUGGGGGCUGUCUCCAAGUGCCAGCGGCCCAGAGCAGUGGGCAGUCACCUUCCUAAUGGACUCUCCGCCAUAGAGAGCUGUGGUGUGACAUUUUGCAUCCACACUUGAAUGGGCGAAGCUCUGAGUUACAGCUUUCAGUUCCUUCUAACUCCCCAUCUCCCUCCAUCCCUCCUCUGGAUUGUGGCUUGUUCCUCAGUUGUUCCUAGUUCUGACAACCCUCAAAACCUGUUUCAAAGUGCACCUCCCUCUUUCAGUUCUCCUCCGCUGCUCCAGCCCUCAGGGGACUCUUCUCUCACUUUUUUUCCAAAGCCUUUAUCAACUAAUAGACCUUCUGCCUGGAGCUUAAUUAAGAUCGGUCCAGAGUUUCUUGUUGCUUCAGCAAAGCCGGAAUGUAAUGGUUCUUGCAGGGAGAGGGCACUUGCCUGGCAGUCAGUAACAGCUGGGAGGGCUCUGCUCCUCCACUCAGAGGGUACAAACAGAUGUAUCUGGCUAGCCUUCUGUGUUUUAAAAAUAAUGAAUUAUGUGCCAAUACUUGAAAAUCAGGAGAUCUCAAAUAAAACUCUGGGUUUUCGGCUUCCCUUGAAAACUUAGAAGUUGUGCCAACCCUGAGCCUACAUUCCUCCCUGGCAAAAAUUGGCUAGAUCUGGUAGCACCUUUUUCCUUAAGUGGGGCAUGGGUCUUCCAGUUUGCCACAAUCCCCACUACUCCUUAAUGUCUAACAUUAGGCUCCCUUUACUUAUCUACUUUACCUUCCUGGCCCCUAGAGGAUUUUGAGAUUUUAAUCCCUUCUAACUUUUUUCUUUAAGAGGGUAGACAGCUCAUCAGAGCACUAUGCACUGGCUGAUGCUUAGCAUGGCCCAAAGGGAGGCUGGGCAUCACUCUGAAAAUUGUUGGGGAGGUGGGGAGGGGACACUUAGGAGGGUGCUUGCUGUGAAUCAGUCUGAAGAGUCUUAGUAUCAACGAACUCCAGUGUUGGAACUUGGCUGCUACCAUGCUGCUUUACCUGGACAUGUAGAGAUAUACUUAGUGUGAACAUAAAACAAUAAAUUUAUAAAAAUUAACUAACUUAUCAAGAGCACUUACUAUGUGCCAGAUACUGUUCUCAGAUUUUUACGUUUAAUUUCACAAUAACCCUGUGUGGUCACCACUGUUACUUCUCCCAUUUUAGAGACAAGGGACCUGAGACGCAGGUAGGUAACUUGCUCGGGAAUGCACAGCCAGAAAACAAGAGGCUGCAAUUGCACCAGACACAGAAUGCCUGGAACCUGGAUUUUACCAGGAUUGGAGGUACCGGCAGGUGAUGGGUUUUUCUAUUGUUGUCUUCUCUGCAUCAUCCAUUUCCUGGGGCUGUAAUCUGUUUCCCUCCUGCCAGGAGGCUGUGAAGUUUGAGGCUUCCUUCCCUUGGCACCGGGCUGAAGUUAGCUGGCCCCCAGCUCUGCUACUGUAGGCUCUUUGAUCUGGAGACACACUGGACUACACGGCUUCAGCAAGAGGAGGACAGGGGAGGGCUGGGGCAAGAAAGCAGGGGCUUUGCCAGCCCAGACCAGGUCCCCUCAGACAGCCCAGGGAUCCCAGAAGUGCAGGGCCCACCUGCCAGCCCCUGGGCAUGAGCUCGUAGCCCCUGUGUCCCCACGUCUGAGGUCAGCGCCCGGAUGCUGAGCUCCGAGCAUCCGUCUUGCUGCAAUGGAAGAUUUGAAUCCCCUUGUCGUCACUUUGCAUUGCUUCUGGGCUGUGUUCCCUCUUAUUUCAUUUUCGUCUGAAAUCCUGAGCUCACCCUCCUCGGCAGCUGACGGGCCCAUUUAUUUCCAAGGCUGCAGCCAGUCGGAGGGCUGCCGACAGCUCCGCGGAGCGCUCUGGGUUUGUGCCACCUCGUUUUGUUCCUGCAGACAGGGCUGGGAGACCAGAGAACAUCUUCAUUUUGCAGCAGCAAAGCUGUCAGAGCCUUCAGCCUCAGCCCUCAUCCUCUUGGGCCUGAGAUGCAUUUGGUUUGCCCUAGAGGGCACUGCCCGGGUUGACUCUGUCCCUUGGUCUUUCGUCCUUUUGGACUCAAAACCUUGAGAGCGUGCAGCCUGUGCUUUGCAAAUGUCCUGUCAAAUGCCCCUGAUUUGUCACAGUUGGAACAGCUCCUAGAGAUCGUGUUGUCAGAUCUUCUCGCAGUGUUCAGAUAAUGAAACAAAGCCCAGAGAGGGCAAGAGACUCAUGGGGAAUUGCACAGCAAGUGAGAGGCAGAACAAAACUGACAGGCUCCGGCCCCAGCCAUUUCACAUUAUUCCAGUCCACCUCUUCAGAAUCUCAGAAGGCCAGCCUCAAGGGACUCCCCUCACGAGGCAUCAUCUACCUGCAAGGCUCCUCCGCCAGCACUUCAGGGCACUGCUGCUCCUCCCCUUCCGGCCUCAGCUCAGAUGUCCCCUCCUCAGGGAGGCCCGCCCCUCCUGCCUUGUCUGAAGCACCCUCCAGUCACUCUCCAUCACAUUCUCUGACAUCCUCCAUUGUUUUGUCCUCAGAGCUCUGAUCAGUACCUGCAAAGAUCUCCUAUCAGAGUUUAAUUUGCAUUUUUGUUGUCGCUCCCACCAGAAUGCGAGCUCCAUCUCCCACCAGAAUGCGAGCUCCACCAGGCAGUGACCGCGUCUGUGUCUGUCUCACUCGCCUCAACCUCUCCAGUAACCUCGCCAGUACCGGCACACAGAGGCGCCCCGCAUGUCUGCGCAUGUGGAGUGAAGGGAUGAAGGGAUUUCAGGGACUUCCAAUGGUCCCUAAACAAGAGCACAGUUUUCAUUUCUUUCAGCACAGAUCCACUUUGCGUCUUCUGGAAUUUCACGCGAAUGGAAGCUUACGGAGCGUCCUCUUUGGCGUCUGCCUUCUUUUCCUCAGCAUCAAGCUCCACGCUCAGCAUCCGUGUUGAGUCUCCUGUCUUCUGCCGGCAUCCAUAAAACUGCGGUGGGCUCACUUGCUAGCUUGCAGGCGUGUGUGUGGUGGCGAGAAGGCGGAGAAUGACAAGGCCUGAACUUGAACUUCAGCUCCCGCACUUACCAGCCACCACCACUCCGUCAGACACCCGGUGUCUCACUGGGCCCCUCGCCGGUGCUGAGUAAGCAUUAAUUUCACCACGCCAGAAAGUUGAAUCUGAGAGCACAUCCUUUCAAUAGAGGUAACAGCAAGAGCAGGCUUGUGAGUAGGAGAGAUCGGUGAAGACUGAAACGCUCGGGUCGCUGCACAUGCCUGGGGCCGGGGAGCUGAGCAGCAGCCGAAGGCAGGGACACACACUCGCUCCUGCGUCUCAGUUGUGGUAGCUGCAGCCUCAGCUGGGACGCAUCUGGCUGCAAAUCAACAGGCAAUUCCCGUGCCCACUGCCUUUUAUCCCCAUGGCUGUUCUACCUCCAGCUCUGUGUUCGGGAAUGGAGCCAGAGCCGUCGGAAGGGAUGGGCAGGGUGCCACAGCCGGAAGAUGGCGGGUUUUGAGUGUGUGGCGCAGGGUCCAAAUGCCGGCUCCGUCACUCUGCGCUCUGAGAGGACAUGGGUGAGUCAUUUAAGCUGCUCUGGGUCUCAGAUGCUUCACGGAAAACCAGGAUCAUUGUACCUUCAGCAUCGUUUUUUAUAAAAACGAAGGUGUGAAAUUGUAUGGGUGAGGUACAUGGUAUCUGGCAGCUGUGGUUAUGCCAAGGAGGGUCAUUGAUUGCUGCAUACGCAGCAUACACUAGGCCUGGCGCUUUGAGUUUUCACGUGUGAUCACGUGUAUCCCUCACAGCAAGCCUGUGAGGGAUUUCCACUCUCCUUCUUCUUACUCGAGUGAGGAAAUUGAGGGGCAGAGCCCAGGCCAUGGCCCAAGGUCUCAGAGCUCCUGCGUGGCCCAGGAGGGAGACGAACCCAGGCCAAUUGCCACCCGAGCAAGGUGCUUCCCUGCCUUGCUGUCGGCAGACUCUGCGGACCACACCCGGGGCCUCCCCCAGAGGCCGGUGACCCAGACCUAGCUGCUCAAAGGACUGUGCCCCUUGUGUUGGGCGGUCUGCUGGACCGACUGUGUAGUUUGCAGGGUCCAGUGCACAGGGAAAAUGCAGGGCCCUUGUUCAGAAGACAUUAAGAAUUUCUGGAUGGUGACAGCAGAGCAUUCAACCAAGCACAGAGCCCUUCUGAACAGGGGCCCACAGGUCGUAGGCCCAGGCAGCCGGCCCCAGUGGUCUUCACUGGGCUGUGCCUCCCAGGAGACUGGGGGCACGCUGUGGGCUCCCUCUGAAUGUUUUGUCAGCCUCCUAACUUCUCUGAAGACCCAAAGGAAACCCUGAGAUAUGCUAAGCAGGCCCAACACAAACCCUGAAAAUCUUCCUGGCUGCACUUAGCUCCAGCAAGAAUAUGACUGGAUCCACAUGAAAUGGUUACUUGUGACUCAGGCUGGCCAAGAGCCCUCACCUGCCCAACAGGUGAGGUCAGAAAACUCCACAGGCAGGCUCCUCAUGUUCCCUCUCCAGUUUACAACCUAAGAAAUUAUCAUAAUCAUUACAUUAAUUCUUAGUUAUAGUAAUAAUAAUAAUAAUAGUUUUCAACAGUAAUUUACUCUGUAGUCAGCAUUCACAUUUACUUAACUUACGCAGGUUAUAGACUUUCUGAAAAAUCAGUGUUACUGAACCAAUCUGUUCACGUCCAAAGUUAUAAACUGUAUUUCUUGUUCUGAAAAACUCUUUUUUUUUUUUUUUGCUGGGGAAGAUCCCUCCUGAGCUAAUAUCUGUUGCCAAUCUUCUUCUUUUUCUGUAUGUGAACCACUACCAUAUCAUGGCCGCUGACAGAUGAGUGGUGUAGGUCUGAGCCCGGGAACUGAACCUGGGCUGCCAAAGUGGAGGGUGCUGAACUUAACCACCAGGCCCCUGGGGCUGGCCUUGAAAAACUCUUAAUGCUGCAGUUUCCUGCAAAAUUCAGCACAAGAUUCCAACACUUCUCAAAUCGUUGAGCACAAGGAAGAAUACCCUUCUCAUCCCCCACCCAACACACACAUACAGCAUCAAUUAAUUACAUUAUUAUAAAUAAAAUGCUGUGGUGUAACAUUCCCGGCCCAGACUUGUCCUCACACAGGCCUCUGUCUGGCCACGCUGCUCGUGGCCAGCUUCAUAAUUUGGGUUCCAGACACGGGUCCAUACAUCCAAGCGAGGGGAACUGCUCUGGCCCACCUCACAGGCAGGCAGGACCACCACGCACCGACGUGACCCGCCUUACAAACAGGAGACCUGAGACGGGUGGUCAGAGAGCUGUAAGCAGCCUGGCUGGGGAGCGUCGAGUCACUCGAGUGGGCUGUUGGGGAGCCCCCAGCUGGCCCACUGAACUCGACAUUGUCUCACGUCCACCUCCCCAGGAGUCUCUUUGCAGCAGGUAUAAAUCUUAGUCCAUAAAAUUGGGCGUGCCAAAAAAAAGAAGUAGCACAUUUCUCUAUUUUCUUUCACUUCAAGUGGUGGCAGAUUCAGUCUCAGUCGUGGAUGGGGUUUUCUUUUCCCCCCACAACAGCCAGGCAUGUGCCAAGGUCCUGAGAGUGCCAGGCAGCGGGAAGGCCCUGGCUUCUGUCCCCGGUUGGGGGCACAGGCAUCUCCAUCGUGGCUGGGCAUCCCCUGCAUCGCCCGAGGACGGUCGUCCUCCCCUGGGGGCGAUUUUGCCCCCGCCCCCCAGGGGCAUUUGUCUGGGGACUUUUUUGGCUCCCACAACUGGCACCUCGUGGGGAGGGCCACUCAUGCAGCUAAAGUCCCUUCAACGCAUGGGACAGCCCCCUGCAGGAUAAAGAAUUAUUCUGUCCCGAUGUCGAUAGUGCUGAGGCUGGGAAACCCUGCCCUCAGAGGUUCUCAAGCCCCUAUUUCCCCAGCCUUCUGACUUCUGGCCACUUUAUAAUCUGGCAACUUCUUUUCCUUUCUCUUCAUGUUGUUCUGAAUGUAACUUCCCUCUCUAUUCUUGUUCUCUGCUAAACUACCUCACCAGUCAAAGAGCCCAGUUGUUCAUCCGCCACAGAGAUGACCCGUAACUGGUCGAAGCCAUCAUUUCCACACCCUAGUAUUAGAGACUGGCUUUUCCAGCCUCUCUUCCAGCUAGGGCUUGCCAUGUGACAUAGUUCUGGCCAAUGAAAUGUAAGGAGACAUGUGCUGGGGGCCUCUGGAAAAGAGAUUGCUCCUUGUGUGAGGUGUUCUGGAGAGGAGAGCUGUCUGGUGUCAGCCACCAUGAUUUUCCUGCCUGGAACAACCACGUGAGGAUGUAAGGUGUAGGGCUGUGGCAGCCGUCUUGCAACCAUGAGGUAAGUCAGGAGAAUUGCAGACAUGAGCCACCAAAUGGACCCUGGAAUCAUCCACUUCCAGGUCUCUUGUUAAAUAAGCUACAAAUGUCCUUAGAGUUUAGACCAUACUUGAUACACUUGGGCAAACCUCUUAACCUCUCUCUAUCUUACUCUUGUGUAAGAAGGGAAGAAUAAAUGCUUCCUGCAUAAAGUUGUUAUGGAGAUUUAAUGAGAUGACGUAUGUAAAGCAUUUGACUAAGUGCCUGGAAUAUAAUAACUAUUCAAUGUAUUGCAAAUGUCUUUGUUACUGUCCCUAUGAACCGAAUUAAUUGGGGAUGAUAUUACGGGUCUUCCGGUAAAUUUCUUCUACUGAUUGAUUGUUCACUCAAUUAUCCAACAAACAGGUAUUAGCGCCUGCCAUGCUAAGAUACUGGAAAUGAUAGGAAGUUAUUUAAGAGAAUACAAUUAGGGGGAAAUGAUACCUGAGAGGUUGUAUAUUAGAUCCCAGCAAAAUUCUCUUUUAUUCAAGAGCUGGAUUUUGUAAACUUUAGUUUCUGUAUUCUGUCAUUGUAUGUGUCAUAUCCAUGUACCAUGUCCUUGCCCUGGUACAAUAGCUGUACUGUUAUUGACUUAAAAUUUUUCUUUAAAC